CCAGGCACCCUUGUCAGAGGUGGCUCACGCAGCCCAGCCCACCGGGGCCUUCCCUAUCCCCUCCCCUGCUGCUGUGCCUCCUUGGCCCUCAUCGCCAUCUGACAGUGUGCACUCGACUGUUGUGGCCUUUCGUCUGCCUCCUUCACUUGAAUGGGAGCCUCCUGGGGCAGGGGCUGCUCCUUUUGCUGCUGUUGCAUCUCCAGGCCUGCAGCCAGGCCUGCCCCGCAGUGGGUGUCAACACGCUCUGUGGAACGAGGGACGGAAUGAGGGACGUGAGUGAUCUGUGUGGAUGGAGGAGUGACUUGCAAUGGAAGCCUGCCAGCCAAGACAGCUGGGCCCCUGGGCCGUGAGAUACUUCAGACAGACACAAUUUCUCCCAGCGACAGGGGAGGAAGCCGAGGCCUUGAGAAGAAUCAUUUUUUGAGCACCAAAAGAAGAAACUGGUGGCGGGGCGCAGUGGCUCACACCUGUAAUCCCAGCACUUUGG
rnacentral:lncRNA from 1 species